rnacentral:rRNA from 1 species
CAAUAGCGUAUAUUAAAGUUGUUGCAGUUAAAAAGCUCGUAGUUGGAUUUCGGGACGGGCCAGUUGGUCCGCCGCAAGGUGUGUUACUGACUGGUCUGUUCUUCUUCGCAAAGACUGCGUGUGCUCUUCGUUGAGUGUGCGUAGGAUUUACGACGUUUACUUUGAAAAAAUUAGAGUGUUCAAAGCAGGCUAUCGCUUGAAUACAUGAGCAUGGAAUAAUGGAAUAGGACUUUGGUCCUAUUUUGUUGGUUUCUAGGACCGAAGUAAUGAUUAAGAGGGACAAUUGGGGGCAUCCGUAUUUCGUUGUCAGAGGUGAAAUUCUUGGAUUUACGAAAGACGAACAACUGCGAAAGCACUUGCCAAGAGUGUUUUCAUUAAU